UACGUAGGGGCCUAGCGUUGUCCGGAUUUAUUGGGCCUAAAGCAUCCGUAGCCGGUUCUACAAGUCUUCCGUUAAAUCCACCUGCUUAACAGAUGGGCUGCGGAGGAUACUAUGGAGCUAGGAGGCGGGAGAGGCAAGCGGUACUUAGUGGGUAGGGGUAAAAUCCGUUGAUCCAUUGAAGACCACCAGUGGCGAAGGCGGCUUGCCAGAACGCACUCGACGGUGAGGGAUGAAAGCUGGGGGAGCAAACCGG
rnacentral:rRNA from 1 species